GCUUGGAGUCCGAGAUGUAGAGAAGAUGCCAGGUCGCAAAAUAAAUAAAUGUGUAUAAAAAGAUAUAUGGCACAGAUAAAGAGUAACCAAAUAAACUUUUAAUAUAUAAAAAUACACAGAAUAAUAUCCAUAAACGCGUUUCGCCAACACGGCUUUAUCAAUAUGGAGUAAGAACCUGAUACCUGGCAUCAAAUAGUUUAUAUAGCAACUAAAGACAUUUGAAAAUUGGCGCCAAAAAAUGAGCAGCCAAUCAAAAUUGAAAUAAAGAUAAAAUAAUUAUAAUGGAAAAAUAACUGAUAA